rnacentral:sRNA from 1 species
UUUGACUUGUGGCGAUUGGCAGGAAGCUGGAUUCCGAUGUUGAAUUCGUCGGGGACGGUUGGAAUAUUCACUAGGUUAUUUACAAUUUUAAGAGAAGGUCAGGUAGGGAUUUACUUGUUUGCAUGUGUUUUGUGAGGGGCUUCCAUGGCGAUAUUCUUUUUGGUAGUGGUGGUGCAUCAGUAAAGAGGUACGAUAAUAUAUAUAUAUCUCUGCAGAUAUAUCCCCCUGCGACACAGCCAUAAAAUGGAGAUGAAAAGAGCACAUCACGACAACUUCAUUUUCUAUUCCAAAGAGGAUCCGGUUCGGAUUAAUUAACCAUCCCAACAAUCGAAAAUAAAUAAAGCCCAACCCCACUACUAUGAAAAGGUUGCGAUCUUCCAUUAUUCGUCUUGGUCGUCUGACCAAACCGUCAUCAAUAAAUAGAUUAGAACAGAUGCUUCCCAAGCAAAAUCAAGGAAUACACAUUACGAGAAAAGAUGAAAUAAUUAAAUAGUAUGGAAUAAAUAGUUUGGGAUAGCUGUUACUCGUAUCGAAAGGAACGGCAGCUCAGCUUUCGACUCGGUCGCACGACACAAAUUGUUAUUGUCGCAUUUUCGCGAUAAAAGCCCAUUUUUACCUCCCAC